rnacentral:rRNA from 1 species
GAGCGGUAGAGAGAAGCUGNCUUCUCUUGAGAGCGGCGGACGGGUGAGUAAUGCCUAGGAAUCUGCCUGGUAGUGGGGGAUAACGUUCGGAAACGGACGCUAAUACCGCAUACGUCCUACGGGAGAAAGCAGGGGACCUUCGGGCCUUGCGCUAUCAGAUGAGCCUAGGUCGGAUUAGCUAGUUGGUGGGGUAAUGGCUCACCAAGGCGACGAUCCGUAACUGGUCUGAGAGGAUGAUCAGUCACACUGGAACUGAGACACGGUCCAGACUCCUACGGGAGGCAGCAGUGGGGAAUAUUGGACAAUGGGCGAAAGCCUGAUCCAGCCAUGCCGCGUGUGUGAAGAAGGUCUUCGGAUUGUAAAGCACUUUAAGUUGGGAGGAAGGGUUGUAGAUUAAUACUCUGCAAUUUUGACGUUACCGACAGAAUAAGCACCGGCUAACUCUGUG